rnacentral:rRNA from 1 species
CCUACGGGUGGCAGCAGUGAGGAAUAUUGGUCAAUGGACGAGAGUCUGAACCAGCCAAGUAGCGUGAAGGAUGACUGCCCUAUGGGUUGUAAACUUCUUUUAUAUGGGAAUAAAAUGUUCCACGUGUGGGAUUUUGUAUGUACCAUAUGAAUAAGGAUCGGCUAACUCCGUGCCAGCAGCCGCGGUAAUACGGAGGAUCCGAGCGUUAUCCGGAUUUAUUGGGUUUAAAGGGAGCGUAGGUGGAUUGUUAAGUUAGUUGUGAAAGUUUGCGGCUCAACCGUAAAAUUGCAGUUGAAACUGGCAGUCUUGAGUACAGUAGAGGUGGGCGGAAUGCGUGGUGUAGCGGUGAAAUGCUGAGAUAUCACGAAGAACUCCGAUUGCGAAGGCAGUUCACUGGACUGCAACUGACACUGAUGCUCGAAAGUGUGGGUAUCAAACAGGAUUAGAUACCCCUGUAGUC